CUCAUUUUGGGUGUUCUGGGUGAACACUAGUGCAUUGCUUGCCUAAAUGUUAAUUUUAGAAGACCAGCUGCAGCUGCUUCUGUCACUUCAGAUAAAUGUAUCCGCUCAAACUGGACAGCAGCAGAUAUGAGAUGCACAUCUUACCAGAGACACGCAGUAGAUGUGGAAGCUGUAGUCGUGGUCAGAUCAGACACAGAGAUCCACGAGUCUGUCUGUCUGAUGGAUGGCAUCCGUGAAACUCCUCUGUUAAGGAACUGGAGAAAAUACUGUUUGGAGGGAAGAGGAGCUGAAAUCAUGUGGAUGAAGAGUGGCCCAACCUUUACCUGGGUGCUGCUAUGUCUGUGGCUAAUGAUGGGUUCAGUGUGUGGAAGCUGGGCAUCACUCGCGUUCUGAACGCCGCUCAGGGAAAGAUGCACUGCCACGAGUUUUACGGCUCAACAGUCGAUUAUUACAGAGUCCCAGCCGAUGAUUCGCCAUCGGUGCGAGUCGCUCGGCGUCUCUGGUUCUGGCUCAUCUCAUGAUACACCAGCAUCUUUCUCUACUGGAGGCUAUUAAAGCGGUCAAACAGCACCGCUGGAUCUUCCCAAACCGAGGCUUUCUCAAACAGCUGCGGGCUCUGGAUGUGACUCCACACCGUACGGAACGCAACACACUGUACAUAAACACCAACAACAUUCCAGCAUCACCAGCCUGUGUGAGACCGUCUUUAAUAAAGGGGUUUUGCAGCACUGCCAGAAGAACCUUUUCAGUGAACAGUUCUUAAAAGAACCAUUUUUUUAGUGUGAAGGUUAGUUUAGUCAUCUAAAGAACAUUUAGAUUGACCUUUUGUUCAAUGGAAAGGUUCCAUGGAUGUUAAAGGUUCUUUAUGGAACCAUCAAUGACAAUAAAGAACCUUUGUUUUUACGAGUGUACCGGAGAUGUUAGCACACCUCAAGUCUCAUGUUUUAGAAGUAAAAUGUAAUAAAUUACUUAAUAAUUUUACAGUUAACUUUAGGUAUUCAAUUACUUGGUAAAAAUGUAGAUAAUUCGGAGAUUUAUUGUAUAUAAUUUUAAUAUCUUUACUAUAAAAUGUGUUUUAACUCCAUUUAUAUAGUGAAAAAUAAAAGUCCCUGCAUGUUCCUUUUUUUUUGUUUUGUAUUAAAAAAAAUAAUUUAAUUAAAUUUUUGGUGUAUUGGGGUGAUUUGUUAU
rnacentral:lncRNA from 1 species